AGCCUUGUGGUGUAGACAUGUCGGAUUGCAAACCCGAAGAAGCGAGUUACCGCUC
rnacentral:tRNA from 1 species